UUUCCUUUGUACAGAAAGCAUGUAAACUGUUGAUUGCUUUGAGCUGCUUUCUUGAGUUUUCUCUCCAUUUUUGCACUUACCUCCGUCGAUUUUGAGGUAGCUUUCAUAAAACUCCUCAUACUUACACCCUGAAUCUACAAUGCAAGAUGAACUUUCAUAGUGAAGCAACUGAGUAUUUGGGACUCCUCCCAAAGCAUUUCCGGCGAAAGGAUAACAAUCUGUUGGUCAUAAAGGAAGAAACCGAAAAAUUGCAUGACUAUAAGAAGAAUGAAAAUAAGUAUUCUGAAAUAGUCACUAGGUAGAAACAAGAUAUAAAUGAUUACCUCCAUGCACACUACUGAAGUCAUCAUCUGAAUCAGAUUCUAUAAUGCUAACUGAGUCAAACCAUGCUUCAUCUUGAAAUUUUCCUGUAAUAUAUAUAAAACUCCUCAGCAUCAAGGACAAACAAAUCAGAUAAAAAUUAAUAAAUAACCAUAGGAUAAAAACUAAUGCAUGAUAAUUUACUCAAUUAGUCGCUGCUAAUUUAACUCUCUCUUUACACAACAUUAACAUAAAUCUCCUAAUACUUCUACAUUCCAGAACGCAGAGAUAAAUGGUACCAUUUGCAUCAAUUUGAGUAUGGCUAUGGUAUUGAAGCUGAGUAAGAUGAAUUUUCAUAUUCGAAACCUCGGAUCUCCUGCAGGUGGCUGAAGAAGGCCUAUCAAAGUCCAAAUUAACAAAGUCGCCAAGAGUGAACUCUCCUACGCGAUUUCCAGCAUUGCUAACCCUUUUCAAAGCCAUAUCAGGAAUCGCGGCAUUACUACUUUUUCCUCGGCGUUUGCUUGAUUUGUUAUUUUUUCUUUUAUGGCCACUGCUCUUCUUGCCAUUUGGUUUUGAGGUACAGCUUCCCAUUGUGCUAAAAGCAAUCUUUUUCACUAGUCCAGCCAACAUUGUGUUUCUAUAUGUACUUGAUCACAGUGUGUGUCUAUGAUCUCCUUUGAGUAAAAGGAACCUUGCAGACACACAAAUAAUCAAUUUUUCAUCAAGAAAUGGAAUUGAAGAAGAAUAUAGCAUAACUACAAAAGCAAAUUAUACAUGAAUAAUUCAGUUCUGCUUAACCACCACCCCUUAUUUGAAAUUGUUGUUUUUGUAGUUUGCAACAAUUCUAGAUGACACGAACACAUAAUUACUGACUAAGUCACGACCAGAUCGUUCUCUUUAUGUUGCAUUAUACCAUUGUAGGAAAAUCAAAUAUAACAUUGACAAUUCGAGAUUAUGAAUAAAAUUGAGCAAAAUCACAUACCUUAAACUCUAAAAAUCAACACUCCAGAAUUCUCCACUUGAACCAAUAGAUUAUUGAUACAAACCUAUAGUGAAAUAUUUAAUUGAGGCCAUAGAGGUAACAUAGCUUUGCCUCCAUACCACCUUUGAAGAAAAAUGAAGAAAGUAAUAAUCAAAUAAAAAUUUACAUAUUCCAUCAAUCAAAUGGUAAAGAAAAUUGUAACCAGAUUUUUUGCAAAGCAAUCUAGCAUAUAGAAUUAGAUCCAAUAUAAAUAUAAAUUAUGAAUAAAAAGAUUCAACAAUACGAAGUGAAGGUAGAAAUGAAAAUGUUGGCAUUGAUAAAUAUUAUCAUAUGGACAAAAAACACAAAACACAUGCAUGAAAUCUCUAAGGGGUAUGAUAAAACAUGCAAAAUGAUAAUGUCACGUGAAAAUAAAAGCAGACAUAAGAAAAAAUUAUGGGAAACAUUGAAUAGAGAAAAUAUGCGGUCCUAUAAAACACAUGCAUGAAGAAAAAAGGUUGAAACAAGAAAACAUAACAGAAGAAGAAACUACAACAUUUGUCAUAUGAAUAGAAAAAGAUUAUGAAUAAAAAAUGGAACAAAAGAUAGAGAAUAGAAGAAGGGACCUGAGGAAAGUAGGGGCAUGGAGAAAUGAGGAACCUUGGUUCCUAAAAAGGAACAAGGAAUCCUUUGUAGUUGCCUGGUUUCUUUGUAUCUAUGUGGUUAGAAGGAAAUGGAAUGAAGAAGAAAAACAAGAAAAUAUAAAGACAAAAAAAAUAGAAAAUGGGUUAGAAAAAGAGAUAGAAUUGGACAACUAGAGACACCAAAAAGAACAAGAGUAUACGCUGUAUUAGGAUCCAACUUGGUUGUCAUAGUCUUUAUCAUUUCCUUUCAAAUCUCUUUCUAUGUCUCUAUUCAUUCUAAGAAAAACUAUUUUUUAAUUUUUACUCUAUUAUUAUUUUUCUAUGGGUUUUCUCUAUUACUAUGAACAAUAAUUCUAUUAUUAAUGGAUAAGUAAAUACAUGUUUUUUCUUUUUUUAAUGAUAAAAAUAUAAUUUUAUUAUAACAAAAAAGAUAAAAGUAUCAUUAAAAUUGUAUUUUUCUUUGUUUUUUGAAGUAUUUAUCUCUUUAUUAAUGGAGAAAAUCCUAACUUUAUUAUUAUUGUUUCCAAACAAAUAAAACAAUUAAAUAUGAGAUCAUAUAAAAGAGGAAUUUACCAACUUUGGUAUUAGAGUAAUUAUUUUAAUGGACAUACAUUAAUGUAAUGUUUUUUUAAUAUAAUUCACGUUGGUUGAUAUAUUUUUAUUUAAGAAUUAAUAAUAUUUUACAAGUUAAUAAUAUAAAAAACUGUUGAUGACAAAACUUUUUCUUUUAUUUACUUUCAACUUCUAAAUAGUAAUAUUACAAAGUUGAUAUGCUUAAAUUUAUUUAAUAUUUUUCGAGAAUCAGAAUCCAGACUAAAUAGAAAGGAUAAUAUUAGAAAAAUGUGUUGAGUUCUCUAAUAUUGAUAUUGAACAUAAUUAAAGAUUAAUAUUCAAUUAAAUGGAACAAUACUUAUUCAGAAUAUUGGUCACCUAUUUUGAAAGAAAUUAAUUUUUUAUACCUAUGGUGGAGAUAUACAUUCUUUAACAACAAAAUAUGAUUUUGUGACUAUAGUUUGUUAUUAAUUUAUCCAUGUGUUUGAAUUCCUCAUCCUAUCCUUAUUCUCAUUCUCUUCCUCAUCCUAUCCUCAUGCUAUCCUCAUCCCCAUCGUCAUCAUCUUCCUCAUCCUAUCCUCCUCCUCUUCCUCAUCCUAUCCUCCUCCUCAUCGUCAUCCUCAUCCUCAUCCUCGUCCUCAUCAUCAUCCUAUUCUCAUCCUCAUCCUUAUCCUCCUCUUCUUCCUAAUUCUAUCCUCAUCCUCCUCCUCAUCUUAUCCUCAUCUUCAUCCCAUCCUCAUCCUAUCCUCCUCCUCCUCCUCAUGCUCUUAGUCAUCCUCAUCCUAUCCUCACCCUCAUCCUCAUCCUCAUGCUAUCCUCAUCCCCAUCCUCAUCAUCUUCCUCAUCCUAUCCCACUCCUCUUCCUCAUCAUAUCCUCCUCCUCAUCCUCCUCGUCAUCCUCCUCCUCAUCCUAAUCCUAUCCUAUCCUCAUCCUCAUCCUCAUCAUCUUCCUCAUCCUGUCCUCAUCCUCAUCCUAUCCUCAUCCUCAUCCACAUCCUAUCCAUGUCCUCAUCCUCAUUUCUAUCCUCCUCCUCAUCCUAUCCUCAUUCUCAUCCUCUUCCUAAUCCUAUCCNNNNNNNNNNNNNNNNNNNNNNNNNNNNNNNNNNNNNNNNNNNNNNNNNNNNNNNNNNNNNNNNNNNNNNNNNNNNNNNNNNNNNNNNNNNNNNNNNNNNUCCUUUGUAUACCCUUUCACCUUUUCCAUCUCAUCCUCUACUAAUCUCUGUAAACCAAUUCUUUUAUUUAGUUGGAAAAAAAGUACUUAAGUGUAGAAGCAAGAAAACUGAUGCAAGACCAAAUGAGCUUUUUUUUGGAAGUGUGGAAAUUGAGAAUGACCAAUAUACUACUAUGCUGAGCAUGUCAUAUUUGGACUAUGUAAAAAGUGUACCUAACAAUUUCUAACACUUUUGUAGCUAGAUAGUACACAAGGGAAAUUCAAUUAUUGGAAACAAAAUCUAAUAUCUACCUAUGCAAAGCUGAAAUUUUUUUGCCUUUAGGAAACAUAAGAAAGCUGCCAACUAUUGAACAAUUUCUUUCCUUGAAAAAUCCUUUUAGAAGAUUAUAGUAAACUUGCAUUUGAAAGUUGAAUCAAGUGACAAUUGAUGAGAGGAAAAAUACCUUGAUGCUCUCUUGAAACUGUGGUGAGACCUCUUGGUCAAAACUCUCAGAUAAUUUAAAAUAUAGCACAAGGCUCAUGCCUUCUCCAUCGGCAUCACCGAGGAAUAUGCUAGCAGGAUAUGUUGGCAACUGGUGCAAAAGAAGCAUAAUUAAAUUAUGUAAUCAUUCUUUUGCAUUGUUCAAAGAGGAAGUCAUAAACUUCAUCACAAGGGAAAUGAAUAGGUUGUUAAGAUAAAGAGCAAACCUGAAUAUUAACAAUGAGAAGGGAAGGUACUUUAUCAUGUUCUUUGACAAAAGGAAGUUCAACAUGCUGAGCAAUGUGAUCUAUCUUCCGUGAACAGACGAAGAAAUCGACACCUAUUGGUACAUAAGGGCAGUAUUCUGGAGCAGGACACUUCUGCUUAUCUCUGCAUAAAUUAUCGGCAUUUCAUUAUAUAAUAAUAAUAUAAUAAGGCAUCAAAAACAACAACCAAACCUUAAUCCCACUACAUGGGGUCAGCUACAUUAUCGAGCGAAAAUAAAAUACAUGGACUAACUAAUGGAUAUAGAUGUGAUGUGUAUGAGAUAACUAGAGACUGGCAGGUACAAUUUUCUGACUUGCCUGAAGAAACUUUCACCGCGGAGCUUGAACACUGAAGGAGAAACUGCAGACCAUGAUCCAGGAAAUGGCUUCUCUGGAGUUGAAAAUGGAAUUUGAAGACCAGCUCUAGGACGAAAAAGGAAUCUCUCAGAUGCACCUGUUGUAAUGUUUAAAUACACUGCUUUGACAACUUCAAAUAUAAUAUAGAAAACAAACUCCAAAUAAAGAGAAGAAAAAAUGUAACAAAUAGUGCAACAAGCAAAAUAUUAUUGACUGAUGUAUUGAGUGCAGAUUGCACUCUCAUUUUUGGAGAAGAUAAUGUUCCAUAUGCAGAACAUUGAAUAAAAACAGAGGAAAAUCUCACAUAAUAUGCACUUACAUAAUUCAGUCCUCUCUUUUACAUCAAUGGAUUUCCUUUGUACAGAAAGCAUGUAAACUGUUGAUUGCUUUGAGCUGCUUUCUUGAGUUUUCUCUCCAUUUUUGCACUUACCUCCGUCGAUUUUGAGGUAGCUUUCAUAAAACUCCUCAUACUUACACCCUGAAUCUACAAUGCAAGAUGAACUUUCAUAGUGAAGCAACUGAGUAUUUGGGACUCCUCCCAAAGCAUUUCCGGCGAAAGGAUAACAAUCU
rnacentral:lncRNA from 1 species